rnacentral:rRNA from 1 species
UACAGAGGGGGCAAGCGUUGUUCGGAAUUACUGGGCGUAAAGGGCGCGUAGGCGGCCUACUAAGUCGAACGUGAAAUCCCCGGGCUUAACCCGGGAACUGCGUCCGAUACUGGUUGGGCUUGAAUCCGGGAGAGGGAUGUGGAAUUCCAGGUGUAGCGGUGAAAUGCGUAGAUAUCUGGAGGAACACCGGUGGCGAAGGCGGCAUCCUGGACCGGUAUUGACGCUGAGGCGCGAAAGCCAGGGGAGCAAAGCGGG